rnacentral:tRNA from 1 species
ACAUUGUUGUAAAAUUAUGCAUAUUAUGUACUAUACCAUAAGGGGUGGUUUACCCCAGAAAAUAGUUUAG